GAUGAACGCUAGCUACAGGCUUAACACAUGCAAGUCGAACGAAGUGGCGAACGGGUGAGUAACGCGUAAUCAACCUGCCCUUCAGAGGGGGACAACAGUUGGAAACGACUGCUAAUACCGCAUACUGAAGGAGGGGGUUGCGUCUGAUUAGCUAGUUGGAGGGGUAACGGCCCACCAAGGCGAUGAUCAGUAGCCGGCCUGAGAGGGUGAUCGGCCACAAGGGGACUGAGACACGGCCCUUACUCCUACGGGAGGCAGCAGUGGGGAAUAUUGGACAAUGGACCAAAGUCUGAUCCAGCAAUUCUGUGUGCACGAUGAAGUUUUUCGGAAUGUAAAGUGCUUUCAGUUGGGAAGCGGUACCAACAGAAGAAGUGACGGCUAAAUACGUGCCAGCAGCCGCGGUAAUAC
rnacentral:rRNA from 1 species